AUGGAAGACUUCCAAAUCUCGCAUAACCGAGAUCUAACAGGUACUGUUAUCGAGUCAUCCAAACCCAUCGCGGUUUUUGCCGGAAACAAAUGUAACAAACUGAAACGAUUCGGGUACUGCAGUCAUCUUGUCGAACAGCUUCCUCCGACGAGCAAUCUGGACAAGACAUUUAUUGUCGCGCCCAGUCUGAGAAAAACAGGUGGAGUGGUGCGAGUAGUCGCCAACUCCAAGACUAAUCUCCAGGUCAUAGUUAAUGGCACCACGAAACGGGCGACAGUGGAGAAGACCCGCCAUUAUGACUUAGCGGUAAACGAUAACAGCGUCACCGUCAUCAAAGCCAACGCUGGCGUGCUUGUUCUAAGUUUCGCUGUCCGCCUCGGUAGACGGAUGGCCGGCGAUCCGUAUAUGACGCUUAUUCCGGGGUUGGAACAAUACAUUAACCAAUACUAUAUUGCUGUUCCAAAGGGAUAUGACGAAAAUUUCUUGACGGUAAUCAUUCCAUCAGAGGCGAAGAGUUCCCUGCGAUUGAACAGCAAACCGGUUUCGUCUGGUUCUGUUGUAACGGAAGCUUCCGUUAACGUCACAGCGGAAGCGGAGUACGUUACCAUGGUGAUUGAAGUAGCUGGAGGGGCUCAUCAAAUUGAAACCACGGACGGGACGAGAUUUGGUUUGUUGAUUCAUGGUCGCGGCCGGGAAGACGGGUAUGGUUAUGCAGGGAACAUGGUUAGUCCAGGGAUAAUCUAACCUUUGUGCUUUUCGAAUUUUGAUUAAAUUCUGAUAAAAACUGAG
rnacentral:misc_RNA from 1 species